UACGGAGGAUCCAAGCGUUAUCCGGAAUUACUGGGCGUAAAGAGUUGCGUAGGCGGCAGAGUAAGUUAGUAGUGAAAGCGUUCGGCUCAACCGAAUAUCCAUUACUAAAACUGCUCAGCUAGAGGAUGAGAGAGGUUACUAGAAUUCCCAGUGUAGGAGUGAAAUCCGUAGAUAUUGGGAGGAAUACCGAUGGCGUAGGCAGGUAACUGGCUCAUUCCUGACGCUCAGGCACGAAAGCGUGGGGAGCAAACGGG
rnacentral:rRNA from 1 species